rnacentral:rRNA from 1 species
UUCCGGUUGAUCCCGCCGGAGGCAUUGCUAUUGGAGUCCGAUUUAGCCAUGCUAGUUGCACGAGUUUAGACUCGUAGCAGAUAGCUCAGUAACACGUGGCCAAACUACCCUCUGGAGCGCGACAACCUCGGGAAACUGAGGCUAAUCGUGCAUACCGCUCUCACGCUGGAAGUUGCGGAGAGCUCGAAACGCCCCGGCGCCAGAGGAUGUGGCUGCGGCCGAUUAGGUAGACGGUGGGGUAACGGCCCACCGUGCCAGUAAUCGGUACGGGUUGUGAGAGCAAGAGCCCGGAGACGGUAUCUGAGACAAGAUACCGGGCCCUACGGGGCGCAGCAGGCGCGAAACCUUUACACUGCACGCCAGUSGAUAAGGGGACUCCAAGUGCGAGGGCAUAGAGCCCUCGCUUUUCUGUACCGUAAGGUGGUACAAGAAUAAGUGCUGGGCAAGACCGGUGCCAGCCGCCGCGGUAAUACCGGCAGCACGAGUGAUGGCCGCUCUUAUUGGGCCUAAAGCGUCCGUAGCUGGCCGCGCAAGUCCAUCGGGAAAUCCGCACGCCUAACGUGCGGGCGUCCGGUGGAAACUGCGUGGCUUGGGACCGGAAGAUCCAGAGGGUACGUCCGGGGGUAGGAGUGAAAUCCUGUAAUCCUGGACGGACCACCGGUGGCGAAAGCGCUCUGGAAAGACGGAUCCGACGGUGAGGGACGAAAGCUCGGGUCACGAACCGGAUUAGAUACCCGGGUAGUCCGAGCUGUAAACGAUGUCUGCUAGGUGUGCCACAGGCUACGAGCCUGUGGUGUGCCGUAGGGAAGCCGUGAAGCAGACCSCCUGGGAAGUUACGUCCGCAAGGAUGAAACUUAAAGGAAUUGCGGGGGRGSACUACAACCGGAGGAGCCUCGGUUUWAUUUGGAUUAACGSCGGAA